UACAGAGGGGCCAAGCGUUGUCCGGAAUCAUUGGGCGUAAAGCGCGCGUAGGUGGCCAUUUAAGUCCGCUGUGAAAGUCAGAGGCUCAACCUUUGAAAGCCGGUGGAUACUGGAUGGCUAGAGUACGGAAGAGGCGAGUGGAAUUCCUGGUGUAGCGGUGGAAUGCGCAGAUAUCAGGAGGAACACCUAUAGCGAAGGCAGCUCGCUGGGACGACACUGACGCUGAGACGCGAAAGCGUGGGGAGCGAACAGG
rnacentral:rRNA from 1 species